GGACGGCAGGCGAAGGGGGAGGCGGCCCGCUCCCCGCCGCGCUCCGCGGGCCGUUCCCGGGGCCCCGACGGCUCCGCUGAGACGGGGGCGAAGGCGGGGAACUUCUAAACAGAGAGCAGCUUUUGUGACUCCUUAGGAAGUCAAUGAAUUCUCCAACAACCACCAGCCAUACACCAGCUGGAGUCAGGGCAUGUGCUACAGUGCAGGUUCUCUGCCCAAGGAAUUUUUCAGCACUCUCUCAAGCCAGUACAGC